rnacentral:rRNA from 1 species
GUGACCUCAAAUCAGGUAGGACUACCCGCUGAACUUAAGCAUAUCAAUAAGCGGAGGAAAAGAAACUAACAAGGAUUCCCCUAGUAACUGCGAGUGAAGCGGGAAAAGCUCAAAUUUAAAAUCUGUCAGUCUUUGGCUGUCCGAGUUGUAAUCUAGAGAAGUGUUAUCUGCGUUGGACCGUGUACAAGUCUCCUGGGAUGGAGCGUCAUAGAGGGUGAGAAUCCCGUCUUUGACACGGACUACCAAGGCUUUGUGAUGCGCUCUCAAAGAGUCGAGUUGUUUGGGAAUGCAGCUCAAAAUGGGUGGUAAAUUCCAUCUAAAGCUAAAUAUUGGCGAGAGACCGAUAGCGAACAAGUACCGUGAGGGAAAGAUGAAAAGAACUUUGGAAAGAGAGUUAAACAGUACGUGAAAUUGCUGAAAGGGAAACGCUUGAAGUCAGUCGCGUUGUCCAGGGAUCAACCUUGCUUUUGCUUGGUGUACUUUCUGGUUAACGGGUCAACAUCAAUUUUGAUCAUUGGAAAAAAGUUAAGGGAAUGUGGCAUCUUUGGAUGUGUUAUAGCCUUUGAUUGUAUACAAUGGUUGGGAUUGAGGAACUCAGCACGCCGCAAGGCCGGGUUUUUAACCACGUACGUGCUUAGGAUGUGCAU